UCCACCCUUCCUGAAUCAUAGGAUAAUCUGGGUAGUUUGUCUCCUUGUGGCUGAACUUUUGUUCUCUGGCACAUGCAUACCCUCUCCUAUAUGGAUUUCCAUAUCUGGCGUGGACCUUUUUGGUAGGCUAUGAUUGUAUAUCCUCCCCGUGAAUAUAGAGACAUUGAUCUCCAUAUACAGCAUUCUCCCCUUGUUUUUGGCGUACUUUCACACUGAGACAGGAUUCUAUCUACAGAUCUUAUUGACUACAUGUAUUUCUCUGACACAAUGAUCGUCUGUAAUACCCCUUGAAGAAGGAUCACAGAUACCGAAGCGGCUGUCGGGUUGGACCAAUUUUU